GACGAACGCUGGCGGCGUGCCUAAUACAUGCAAGUCGAACGCUUCCUACCGGUGCUUGCACCGGGAAAGAAGAGUGGCGGACGGGUGAGUAACACGUGGGUAACCUACCUACAAGCGGGGGAUAACAUUCGGAAACGGAUGCUAAUACCGCAUAGAUCUUUUUGUCUCCUGGCGGAAAGAAGAAAGACGGUUUCGGCUGUCACUUGUAGAUGGACCCGCGGCGCAUUAGUUAGUUGGGGAGGUAAUGGCUCACCAAGACGAUGAUGCGUAGCCGACCUGAGAGGGUGAUCGGCCACACUGGGACUGAGACACGGCCCAGACUCCUACGGGAGGCAGCAGUAGGGAAUCUUCCGCAAUGGACGAAAGUCUGACGGAGCAACGCCGCGUGAGUGAAGAAGGUUUUCGGAUCGUAAAACUCUGUUGUUAGAGAAGAACAAGGAUGAGAGUAACUGCUCGUCCCUUGACGGUAUCUAACCAGAAAGCCAUGGCUAACUACGUGCCAGCCGCCGCAGUAA
rnacentral:rRNA from 1 species